rnacentral:rRNA from 1 species
AGCGAACGCUGGCGGCAGGCCUAACACAUGCAAGUCGAACGAAGUCUUCGGACUUAGUGACGGACGGGUGAGUAACACGUGGGAACGUGCCUUUAGGUUCGGAAUAACUCAGGGAAACUUGUGCUAAUACCGAACGUGCCCUUCGGGGGAAAGAUUUAUCGCCUUUAGAGCGGCCCGCGUCUGAUUAGCUAGUUGGUGAGGUAAAGGCUCACCAAGGCUACGAUCAGUAGCUGGUCUGAGAGGAUGACCAGCCACAUUGGGACUGAGACACGGCCCAAACUCCUACGGGAGGCAGCAGUGGGGAAUCUUGCGCAAUGGGCGAAAGCCUGACGCAGCCAUGCCGCGUGGAUGAUGAAGGUCUUAGGAUUGUAAAAUCCUUUCACCGGUGAAGAUAAUGACUGUAGCCGGAGAAGAAGCCCCGGCUAACUUCGUGCCAGCCGCCGCGGUAAGAC